ACCGGGGGCCUGCAAAGAAGCAUUGAGUGCUUUGGGCACUGAUCCAUGAGAUGUCCUCAGUCUAAUCAGCGUGGUGGGAACGCAAGGAAAUGUCCUUGUGCUACUUCAGUAUAAUCAAAAUAAUGGUGGGAACUUUGCGCUGCUUUUGCGCUCAAGGACGAAGCACGGCAGGUUCUCAAGAAAGCCAAUUAUUGCUUGUAUAAUUAAUAGAAACAUAGGUUGCUGCUUUUUCACUUCUGAAAUGUUAAAAAAAAACAAGUUUUAAAGUGUAAACCUAGAUAAUGCUUUAAUAAAAGCUACCACAACAGGACAGACGGCGCUGUUUUGCCUGAGCGAGCGGCAGCCCUCUACUGCUGUGCUUCGGCACAAUUCAUCUCGUGUGAUGAGCUUACUUUCGGCCCUGUCAUAAGAUAAACUACAACAUUUGGCGGCCGAACAGGGACCUGAAGGUAAGUAAUCGCGUGAUCGCGGGACCGAAGGGGAAAUUGGUCCGCUCAGAGUAAGCAAAACCUUUGGCAACAGUAGAGUAACUGUAAUGGGGAAUUCCCAUUCAGUAGAAUUUCAAUACAUUAAACUCCUAAAACAGUUAUUAUGGAGUUCAGGAGUGAAAGUGAAACCAGAAUCUUUUGAUGAAUUGUUUGCGCUGGUACGUAAACAUUGUUACUGGUUUCAAUCUACUGGUCAUAACCAGUUAAAUUUAAAAGUUUGAAAACAGGUUAUGCGAGCCUUAAGAAGAGCUCAUCAGCAUGGAGACCCUAUAUCUGUCCGUGUUUGGUCUCUUUGUAAAUUAAUUUCCCUUGCCCUGGAACCAUUACAAUCUGAGACGGAAAAUGAAAAUGGGGCGCAUCGUCAGCGUCCGAAUUCUGCUCCCGAUCAUUCUGCUGCUUUUCGUACUCUGUUUCGUGAGUCUCCUAUAGAGGACCUUCCUCCGCCUCCUCCUCCCCUUGUGUCUAAGACAGGAGAGGAUUUUUCAGAUUCCAGUAUGAAGGGGCUUUUUCUGACGAUGAUAAAGGUUAGGAGCAGACUAACAAACAAAAUGAGAUGCCACUUUCUCAACAGAAUGAGAUUUCUGAUAUACUUUCAAAGUUAAAAAAAUUUGAUGGUUAAAUUGGAAAAAAAUAAAAAUAAUGCUAGCACUCCGUCAUAUCAGGAGCCAUGUCCUACUAUUCCUUCGGCUCCUCCUUUAGAAUUAGCAGCUUAUCCUGUUGGAGCCUCUCGUCAGUUUCACUUUCCUCUAAAACCUAAAUCUAAUAGACUAUUGUUGGAAGAAGAGAUGAAUACGGAAGAAAAGCAAUAUUCUGAAUCAUUUUUUGCUUUCCCUAUUGUUAGACAAGCUAUGCCUGCUAAUGAUCAAUUUCCGAAUGGAUAUAUGAACGUUAAAUAUAACCCUCAUAAUGUAAAAAUUUAAAAAAUGCUAAAAGAAGCCAUUAAUGCAUAUGGGAUGCAUUCUAAUUAUGUUCAAGGUCUUUUGUUUAGGUAUGCUUCCAAAAACAUAUUAAUUCCUCAGGAUUAAAAGGCGCUUGCCAAGACUACUACUUGGUGGAAAGAAGAAGGCACCUCCAUUGACCUGGGGCCAAAUAAAAAAGUUUGCAGACACUGCCAAAAAUCUUGUCAUUUCACAGGGUAAACCCCUCACUAGCACCAAUCUUUUUGUAGCCAUGUUGGCAAUGUUGUCUGCAAAAGUAAUAAACAUAUCAGCCAAUGAGGUAAAUUGUACUAACCAUACUUAUUGGACUUAUAUUCCUAACCCUCCUCUUAAUAUAGGGGUUACCUAGUGGGAUGCCCCAAUUCUUGUAUAUGUAAAUGAGUCUGGAUGGUUGCCUGGUCCUUUUGAUGAUAGAGGCCCUUUGAAGCCGGAAGAAGAAGGAAGGAUAAUAGAAAAUUACACGGCCUCUCACUGUUGUGGCCUCUCCCGUUGCGGAGCAACAGGCUCCGGAUGCGCAGGCCCAGCGGCCAUGGCUCACGGGCCCAGCCGCUCCGCGGCAUGUGGGAUCCUCCCGGACCGGGGCGCGAACCCGUGUUCCCUGCAUCGGCAGGCGGACUCUCAACCACUGUGCCACCAGGGAAGCCCUCUAGUAUAUCUUUUAACAUAUCUACUGAAAGUUUGUAUAUCUUACGAGCUUGGACAGGUCUUUGGCUUCCUGUCAAUCUUGGAAGGAAAUGGCAAAAAUCUCUUCCUAUGACUGUUUUACAAUAUUUAACUGAUACAUUAAAAAAAAGUAAAAGAUUUAUAGAAAUGUUGAUUGCAGCUGUCAUGGGUAUUAUAGCCAUAACAGCUUCUACUACAGGAUUGCUAAUGCUCAUUAUAAUAAUAAUCGUAUGUUUAAUUAUAGUCCGACGACGAUUGAAAGUCACCCGCCAUACAACAUCGCAACAAGCUGCUGUGUUUUCCUUGAUGCUGCACAAGCUGCAAAAUAAUUCCAUGUAGUUUAGCAUCGAGAGUAAUGCUGCCGUGUUCUCCUUGAUGCUGCAAAAAUUACAAAACAGAAAGGGGGAAAUGUAGUGGAAUAACUGAGGACAUGGAAAGGAGACAUGACCCAUGAGCCCCCCCCCCCGCUACAAACUGGGGGCUGACGAAUAAGCCAGAACUACAAACAAUCCUGAUUGCUUUGAGCCCCCCCCCCCAGCAAACCGGGGGCAUGUGAAUAAGCCAGAGCUGUGAACAGUCCUGAAUGCUUUGAGCCCCCCCCCGCCCCCCCCCCGGCAAACCGGGGGCCUGCAAAGAAGCAUUGAGUGCUUUGGGCACUGAUCCAUGAGAUGUCCUCAGUCUAAUCAGAGUGGUGGGAACGCAAGGAAACGUCCUUGUGCUACUUCAGUAUAAUCAAAAUAAUGGUGGGAACUUUGUGCUGCUUUUGCGCUCAAGGACGAAGCACGGCAGGUUCUCAAGAAAGCCAAUUAUUGCUUGUAUAAUUAAUAAAAACAUAGGUUGCUGCUUUGGCACUUCUGAAAUGUUAAAAAAACAAGUCGUAAAGUGUAAACCUAGAUAAUGCUUUAAUAAAAGCUACCACAACAGGACAGACGGCGCUGUUUUGCCUGAGCGAGCGGCAGCCCUCUACUGCUGUGCUUCGGCACAAUUCAUCUCGUGUGAUGAGCUUACUUUCGGCCCUGUCAUAAGAUAAACUACAACACUCCUCAAAGGCAGGAAUGUCUGCUCAACCAUAAAGAUCAAUUUUUUCUUCUCGAUGCCAGCGAUGUAACUCCUUAGACGAUAACAUUCUUAAUUCUUUCCUAAUUUUGUAAGGGGUCAUGGUGACCUGGUGCUGCUUCCUAUGUGCAGAUCUGGACUAUGUAUCUUUGGUGAACUUUAUGUAAGAUGUCAGUGUGUCAUUUUGAUGUACGACCCUUUGUCUCAAAAAUGUAUAUAACUUCUAACAGGCGGAAUAGUCCUCAGAGUUUUCUGAACAACUUCUGUGGUUCUAAUCCUCAGGUUGGCUCGAAUAAAAUUCUCUAUUUCUCCUUUA